rnacentral:lncRNA from 1 species
CGUGUUUCAGUUCUUAUACUUUGGUAUCCGUUUGAUCUUUUAUAUAUGUGUUAAGCCAUAUGUGGUUUCUGUAAGCGGAUCUAUGCAUAUACUUGAGAAGCAUUCAGAACUAAAAAAGGAAGAGAUUGGAGAUGCACAAAUCAGCUGGACAUCAUGAAUCAAUUUUAAGUAUAGAAUCUGCUGUAACAAGUAUACGUGUGAAAUGAUUAAAGAUG